GAUGAACGCUGGCGGCAUGCCUAAGACAUGCAAGUCGAACGAGGUGGCCUUUUGAAAACGGAGUGCUUGCACAAAGUUGGAUAGAGAUUUUCCACCUAGUGGCAGACGGGUGAGUAACACGUAAGUAAUCUACCGUAGAGACUGGGAUAACGUUUGGAAACGAACGCUAAUACCGGAUAAUUCAUAUUUAGAUAACUAGAUAUGCUGAAAGGAGCUUCGGCUUCACUUUACGAUGAGCUUGCGGCGUAUUAACUAGUUGGUGGGGUAAUGGCCUACCAAGGUGACGAUGCGUAGCCGAACUGAGAGGUUGAUCGGCCACAUUGGGACUGAGACACGGCCCAA
rnacentral:rRNA from 1 species